ensembl:lncRNA
GAACAGUGUGUGUGAGAGUGAGUGAAGGAGAGAGAACAGUGUGUGUGAGAGUGAGUGAGUGAAGGAGAGAGAACAGUGUCGUCUCACUGUGUGAGACUGUGAUGUCAUAGUCUUUGUUCCCUACGCCUGGCUCUGCUCUGACUAUCAAGCUAACCCAGACAGAGUGAGGACUAAGGGGAGAGAGGAAGGAACCGAAGGAGGAGAGGAGAUGGAGCACACUGAUCAUCCUUUGCAGACAGGAGCAGUUAAACAACAUACAAGUAAACGGCAGAGUCUCAGCUUUCCAGCUAUCGACUUCAUCUUUCCGGAGAAACCAAGCCUCAUUAAAUAACUGAUUGAUGAUGGGCUCAAAUACAUCCCCAGCUUCGACUGACCUGAGGAUCCCACAUCGACAGCAACUCUUCCAUGACCAAAGACUGACCAGCACCACAUUUGAAAAAAUAACACUUUUCAGAGCCAUAGUAAACCAUACUGCCGAUAACCCAUGUACUGACUUGAAGGAGAGAGGGACAAAUAUCCAAUCAAAUCAAACUUUAUUUGUCACAUGCACUGAAUACAACAAGUGUAGACCUUACUGUGAAAUGCUUACUUACAAGCCCUUAAUCAACACUGCAGUUCAAGAAGAGUUAAGAAAAUACCCAAAAUCACAAUAACAAAGCUCUAUACAGCGGGUACCAGCACCGAGUCAGUGUGCGGGGGUACAGGUUAGUUGAGGUCAUUUGUACAUGUAGGCAGGCGUGAAGUGACUAUACAUAGAUAAUAAACAACGGGGAGCAGCAUUGUCCAACACUUCCCCUCCUUACUGGCACUAGAGAAGGACUUUCUAGAUCAGACUAAUAUCUGAUAUCUUUAGUGCAGAAUUAAGAAUCACUGAAGCAUAAGCUACCCUAUAUAUUGUCCUCUGUCUAGGGGCUGAGCUAGGCUUCUCAUCACAGUCCAUCUUGGAAUGGAUGGCGCUGAUGUAAAUAUUGACAUUGUGUGGCUGCCUGUCCUCAUCUGAUCUGUACUAAAAGAGAGAGAAGAGAAAGUUCUGGGAGCUCAUCCAUAACCCUUUGACUCAACUGGCGGUGACCUCAGAGCUGCCCCAGGGGCAGAGUUGGAUGUGAGGCAGCUGUCCGCUGCAGUCGACAUACAACCAACUUUCUCUUUUAUGCCCUCUGUUUGUUCUUUUAUUGUAGCUACACGUCUUUCUCUCUCAUCAAAGAGUUCAGAUAAACACAUUCUAUGCCAGCACUCCUGAGGGAACACGCUCGCUCUCUCACUGGAGGCCUGAGUCCACGCUCGCUCUCUCACUGGAGGCCUGAGUCCACGCUCGCUCUCUCACUGGAGGCCUGAGUCCACGCUCGCUCUCUCACUGGAGGCCUGAGUCCACGCUCGCUCUCUCACUGGAGGCCUGAGUCCACGCUCGCUCUCUCACUGGAGGCCUGAGUCCACGCUCGCGCUCUCACUGGAGGCCUGAGUCCACGCUCGCGCUCUCACUGGAGGCCUGAGUCCACGCUCGCGCUCUCACUGGAGGCCUGAGUCCACGCUCGCGCUCUCACUGGAGGCCUGAGUCAGAUUAUGCCACUGUGCAAGAAGUGUGCGUGUCAGUGACUCUGUCAUGUCUGUGUCUGUCUGUCAAUAAGUGUGAGUGACAUCAGGUAUCUAAUGGUUACCUGUGUCUGUCUGUGUGAAUGAGUGACAUAACGUGUGUGUGUAUAUAUCAGCAUCUAACCUCCACUGUGUGUCAAGUCCACUGUUUGUGUGUCAGGUCCACUGUGUUAGUCCCUCUCCAUAAAGCAACCAUGGGCUGUGCCAUGUGUUCCCAGUUGAUUGACAUGUGGAGCGUGUCGGUGAGGAGAACCAGCCGCAGGGCCAUGGAACAGACUGCCCUCCCCAAGGUGCUCCAGGGGGGCUACCACAGAGUCACCAGCCUCCACUACAUGUCUUCCUUCUCUGAUGCAGAGGGCUGCUGUGAUGACAACAACAGUCACAACAGCACCACCGGCAGCUCCUUCACCGUGGACUGGCAAGAGACGGAUGACUGACACUUGGGCGGCAGGUAGCCUAGAGGUUAGAGAGGCGGGCCAGAAACCGGACGGUUGCUAGUUCAAAUGUGCCCUUGAGCAAAGCACUUCACCCCCAAAUCUGCUCCAUGGUUACUGCACUGUGGCUGACCCUGGCUUCCAACCCCUCAGGCAUGGAUGUGGGGGGUUAAAAGCAAAAGACGAAUGUGUAAUCUGCGAAGAAAAUGGACAACACGUAAACCCAACAUAAAUACGUUGGCUAAUCCUCUGUGUGUGUAUGUGAGUGAUUCAAAUGUCCAUUAUUGAUCAGUAUUUAUUAUUUCUCAUCUGUAUUAUUUUGUUUAUUUUUCUAUAGGGGGAAUAAGAAAGCCUUUCUCAGAACUCUCAAAACAUCCCACAAUGAUGUGGCCUUAUUGUCAAGACUCACCGUGUCAAUACAGCCAAGAGUUUUUUGACUACGGACCUGACCAGGAAAAUAUAGCCUAUAACCAGGGUUGUAGAGAAACAUGUAAUAAAUUACAUCUAAUCUGAUUACAAAGAACUAACUAAUCAGUUCUGUUACCAGCAGAACAUUGACAGGUAACUAGUAAAUCGUGGAUUACAUUUAGAAAGUUACCUUCCCAACCCUACCUAUAAUUAGCACCUGGAGUUUUUCUAGGUCAGUUCAAGUGAAACACUCUGGGCCCUAAUCAGUCUACAAUAAAUCUAACAUUGAAAUGCUGUCAGUGUCUUAUUACAGCUUGUUGAACAGUCCUGUCUAAGAUGUUCUAUUAAGGCUCUUCCAGUGUGUCAGCCUGAACACACUGCUUAGGAAUGCUGUUGCUCUGUUAAAAUGGGGGUGAGGGGAAAAGCUGUUGUAUAUUAUACAACACCAGACCCUAUUUUGGCAAAGAUGUGUACAGACGCUGUGCAGCUACGCACAUAACUCUGUCCUGUAGCCUGGUUAAACUACUAAUAACAAGGCUAGAGAUUCAGAGCCAGAGAAAAAAAGAGAACCAACUCUCCUUUCAUGGAUAGGAAUAUUUUGUUACCAUAAAAUAAUGAACAUAAUCCAGUAGUUGUGCCUUGCCCACUAAUGUCUGCAUGGUGUGGUCAGUUGGUAAAAGCUUGGUGAUAGCAAGGCCAAGGUUAUGGGUUCAAUUCCUGCAGGGAUCAAAAUGAUCAAAAACACUUACAAAAAAAUGCAUGCACUCCCCCCAACUCAACUGUAAGUCACUUAAAACCAUACCAGUGGUUUGACUUGGCCCACAGGAACUGACACCAAAUCAGUGUUGUUCUCAGUCAGGUUGUGGAAAAGUGACUAAAAUUGUGAAUAUUGAUCUUAGAACAGUUCAUAUAAUACUGUUAAAAUGAAGUGCUUUGUAACAAAACUAGUGGCAACUGAGCUGCCAC